GCCUCAGGGGCAGCACCGGGGGGGGGCUGGGCCGCGAGUGCACCCCACCGACCCGGCCUCUUCCACCUAUACGGCACCCCUGUCCUGCGGCUGCGGCACUCGAGCGGCGGGGCCUGGGCCGCCAGGCAGGGCUGUUGCAUAACCUAAGCAUGCGCCCUACGCACGAGCGGGCGGGGGCUACUACGCGGAGGGGCUUGGAAGUUGGGGUGGCAGACGAACUGAGUCACGUGAGCGGGGGGCUCGGUGGAGAGAGGGAGGCUGGAAAAGGGAGGGGGGGUGUGGAGGACUUGACGGAGGAAGAGGCUCUCUCGGCGGCAGGAGAAGGGGAAUGGCGGGGCGCGCUGCAAAGCUGCUUCCAGGCAGAAGCUCUGUCCCGCUGGGCAUGAUGGCAGUGCUUGGGCAGGGGGCCGUGCCACUGAAGUGUGGUCAUGCGAGUUCAGGACUGGAGGAGCCCGCUGGGUGCUGUUGCAGCCCCAGAGCUGGGUGAGAGGCAUCCAGCCCACUAGCCUUCCCCUCGGGCUCGGCUCCAGCGCUGCAGGAAGUCUUACACAUUUACACACGCCCAGAAGAGCGGGCUCCAUGUGGGAGUUACACGGCCCUGUUCCCGCUCCCGUUUCUGCGCGGCAGCGUACAUAUCAUGUUGUACAAGUGCUGGGCAGGAAAGACCGCUUGCUGCACGUAGAUCAGCCAAUGAGAGAAGCGAAUUGAAGAGUGUCAACAUCCCGGGCUGAGUGGUCACUAACUGCCCGUAUGAGUGAGCUGGCUGAGCCCCUGGCUCCCCGCGAUUCGAUUUCAGGCAAAGACAAAAAUAAUGCCCGGCGCAAGGGGAGAGGAAGUCAUGCUCUUCCUCUAGGGAUCUCCCACCAAAUCCUGCUUUGGAGAACGUUGGCAUUUAACUGAAUAAAAAGUUAGUUUUGCUUUGUGCUAUGCACACACUAUACCAUACAGCUCUAUAAAUGCUAACCCAGAGCAGUGCUUUUCAACCUUUUUUCAUUUGUGGACCUUAAAUUUCAAGUGGUGCUUUGAAAUCUUAGACCUAGUUUGCGAACUCCCAGCAGUAUGUGGACCACAGGUUGAAGACCACUUACCUUGUGCAUUAAGAAUAGGGGACGUGACAUAACAGGGAGCUGGUUGAUUCCCUUCUGAGCAAUGCUAACUCAAGCCUGAUUGGAGGACAUUUGUAUCCAGGGAGUGACUGAUGUAGCCUAUAAGGAUGGUAAAAUAAAGUGGAAGUCCUUAAUAAAAAAAUGUUUCUUGAA